AACGAACGCUGGCGGCGUGGAUAAGACAUGCAAGUCGAACGGGAAAUAUUUUAGCUUGCUUUAAUAUUUCUAGUGGCGAACGGGUGAGUAACACGUGAGUUACCUGCCCCGAAGUGGGGGAUAGCCUUCCGAAAGGGAGAUUAAUACCGCAUGUGAUGGCAACAUUAAAGGUGGCGUAAGCUGCCGCUUCGGGAUGGGCUCGCGGCCUAUCAGCUUGUUGGUGAGGUAAAGGCUCACCAAGGCGAUGACGGGUAGCUGGUCUGAGAGGACGAUCAGUCACACUGGAACUGAGACACGGUCCAGACACCUACGGGUGGCAGCAGUCGAGAAUCAUUCACAAUGGGGGCAACCCUGAUGGUGCGACGCCGCGUGGAGGAAGAAGGCCCUAGGGUCGUAAACUCCUGUCAUCAAGGAGUAAGGACUUCACGAGUAACUGCGUGGGGUAUUGAUAGUACUUGAAGAGGAAGGGACGGCUAACUUCG
rnacentral:rRNA from 1 species